CCUACGGAGGCAGCAGUGGGGGAUAUUGCACAAUGGGGGAAACCCUGAUGCAGCGACGCCGCGUGGGCGAAGAAGUAUUUCGGUAUGUAAAGCCCUAUCAGCAGGGAAGAAGAAAUGACGGUACCUGAGUAAGAAGCACCGGCUAAAUACGUGCCAGCAGCCGCGGUAAUACGUAUGGUGCAAGCGUUAUCCGGAUUUACUGGGGGUAAAGGGAGCGCAGGCGGCACGGCAAGCCUGAUGUGAAAGCCCGCGGCCCAACCGCGGGACUGCAUUGGGAACUACCGGGCUGGAGUGACGGAGAGGUAGGCGGAAUACCUAGUGUAGCGGUGAAAUGCGUAGAUAUUAGGAGGAACACCAGUGGCGAAGGCGGCCUACUGGACGGUGACUGACGCUGAGGCUCGAAAGCGUGGGGAGCAAACAGGAUUAGAUACCCCAGUAGUC
rnacentral:rRNA from 1 species